rnacentral:misc_RNA from 1 species
GAUGAAGAACGUAGCGAAAUGCGAUAAGUAAUGUGAAUUGCAGAAUUCAGUGAAUCAUCGAAUUUUUGAACGCACAUUGCGCCCCCCAGUAUUCUGGCGGGCAUGUCUGUUCGAGCGUCAUUUCAACCAUCAAGCCCUGCUUGUGUUGGGGUCCUGCGGCUGCCCGCAGGCCCUGAAAACCAGUGGCGGGCUCGCUAGUCACACCGAGCGCAGUAGCACAUCUCGCUCAGGGCGUGCGGCGGGCUCCAGCCGUUAAAGCACCCACCUUUCGCAAGGUUGACCUCGGAUCAGGUAGGAAUACCCGCUGAACUUAAGCAUAUCAAUAAGCGGAGGA